UACAGAGGGGGCAAGCGUUGUUCGGAAUUACUGGGCGUAAAGGGCGCGUAGGCGGCCUUCUAAGUCGAACGUGAAAUCCCCGGGCUCAACCCGGGAACUGCGUCCGAGACUGGAAGGCUCGAAUCCGGGAGAGGGAUGUGGAAUUCCAGGUGUAGCGGUGGAAAUGCGUAGAUAUCUGGAGGAACAUCGGUGGCGAAGGCGGCAUCCUGGACCGGUAUUGACGCUGAGGCGCGAAAGCCAGGGGAGCAAACGGG
rnacentral:rRNA from 1 species